CCUGAGCCAUUAUUUUUGUCCUCAAGCUACUGAACAACGGGACUGGACGCGUCGUGAAAUGAAUUAAAAAAAAUAGCCAACUCCGGAGGAAUAUUCUUCGUUUUGUCCACAAAUGCGGACAUGAAUGGAAUGUCUCAGUGAAUAACUUGGUGGGUAGCAGGGCUGUUGGCUCGGAGGAGGCCGAAGACGGAGUGACAGCCCAGUUAAAAAGCCCGGCUGGGUGUUUAUCUUGUUGGCUAGCCACCGAGCUAGCUUCCUAGACAUUGACGAGGAGAGGAAGAAUACUUCAAGGACAUAUUGGUACUCUCUGAAACAUAUAAUAGUGGCCUUCCUGGGGAUAUUCUAGGUGAAGAAAACAUGGCACACCUACGAGACAUGCAGAACCAGAAUUCCCGGUUGGAUCCUGAAGAGUACUUCACCAAGCAAGAGCGCAUUGGGAAGGGUUCCUUUGGAGAGGUCUACAAAGGCAUCAACAACCGCACGAAAGAGGUGGUGGCCAUUAAAAUCAUUGACCUGGAAGAGGCGGAGGACGAGAUCGAAGACAUUCAACAGGAGAUCACGGUGCUGAGCCAGUGUGACAGUCCGUUUGUCACUAAGUAUUAUGGCUCUUACCUAAAGGGGACCAAGCUUUGGAUUAUCAUGGAAUAUUUAGGAGGAGGAUCUGCAUUGGAUCUGCUCCGCCCAGGGCCUCUUGAAGAGACGUACAUUGCCACAAUAUUGCGGGAAAUCUUGAAAGGGUUGGAGUAUUUGCACUCGGAAAGAAAGAUUCACAGAGACAUUAAAGCUGCCAACGUGCUCUUGUCAGAGCAGGGCGAUGUGAAACUGGCAGAUUUCGGCGUGGCAGGGCAGUUGACAGACACUCAAAUUAAGAGGAACACAUUUGUGGGCACACCUUUCUGGAUGGCGCCAGAAGUCAUCAAACAGUCGGCCUACGACUUCAAGGCCGAUAUUUGGUCGCUGGGUAUUACGGCCAUCGAGCUGGCGAAAGGAGAACCUCCCAACUCUGACUUACACCCCAUGAGGGUCCUCUUCCUCAUUCCUAAAAAUACUCCACCAACCCUGGACGGACCUUACAGCAAGCCUUUCAAAGAGUUUGUGGAGGCCUGUCUCAACAAAGACCCCCGUUUUAGACCAACAGCCAAGGAGCUGCUGAAGCACAAAUACAUCACCCGCUACACCAAGAAGACGGCUUAUCUGACUGAGCUCAUCGACCGCUACCGCCGCUGGAAGUCCGAGGGUCACGGGGAUGAGUCCAGCUCUGAUGACUCUGACAUGGACGGCGACGGCGACGUGGAUUCCUGCCCCAUGUGGACCUUCCCCACCGUCAGACCCAGCACUAUGAACAAGUUACAGCAGGGCUACACACACACCGACUCAGAGUCAGGAGAUUCCGUGAAGAGGCAACCUAAGUCACAGUGCCUGUCGGCCUUGGUCACACCCAUCUUCAGAGAGCUGAGGGAGAAGCGGCGAAGCGAGCGGCGGCGGAGUCGGCGCCAUUGAGGAGCUGGAGAACGCUUUCAACCUGGCAGAGGAAUCAUGCCCCGGCAUCUCCGACCGCCUCGUCACGCACAUGAUGGAGAGCGUGUGCAGGUAGUUUUCUUUCAACGGUAACAGCACGCCGUCUUCACGAUGAAAACGCCCACUGAAUGUUAAGCCCCCUUCUGUCUUCUAAACAUGUCCCCAAAACUCCGAGAAGGACCUGAGCUACCCCAACCUUCCUUCUGCUUUUACAAAUCUUUUAUGUAGUUCCGAAAUAUUUUUACAGUUUUUUUCCUUUGAGAGCGGAGAGUAUUUAAGACACACAAAGCCAUGAAAGUUAGCACGUUGUGUACCUGUUAGACUGAAAAGGUAUAAUAAAUUGAAUGAAAAAGUGA